UUCGUGCGUACAUUAGUUACGUUUUGCGGACGUACCUACAUGUACAUAUAAAUACUUAAAAAAUGUUUUAGCUCCUAUGGAUUAUACAAGAAUAAAAAUAAAAACAAAUAAACUUUUGUUAAUACACAAAACUAUAUGCUAUGAAAGAUUUUUUUUUUAAAUAUAUGUAUUUUUAAAUACUUCUAAGUUUUAUUUGCAAUAUUUCUAAAUUCAGUAGGGUAAACAGAAAAAAAAACUAUUUGCAUGCUUUGCUUUGAUAGAAAAAGUCAACGAAUUCGGUAUAAAUGAGACAACUGUCAAAUCGAGAUUCCCUUUCCAAAGAACUAACAUAGCUUAUGAAUUUAGUUAAUUUACAUGUUUAUCUGGUCGAAAAGUAAUUAGGUAUGGGAUUUUCAAAACAUCUAAGAAUUAUAGAUAAUGGAGUAUUUAUCAUAUUAAUUUAUCAAAAUUAUCAACAACGGUCGCAAAAGCAACCCAUUGUUGUUAUUGCCCCUACUGACUCUCAAAUAAGUUAUUGGCAAUAUGAGGGAGUUGACACUUUUGACAGUGUUUAAGACAAGCGACAGAUGCGAGAACGAACCACCUUCUUUCACUUGGCUUGGCAGUAAUGGCAUUAUGGCGUGGGUUGUCCCUUUGUAAUAAAAGUUUACACGUGUGAAUUUAGGAUUUAUCAAAAUGCGGCUUAUAAUAAUAUUUUCUUAUUACAUUUGAAUUUAGUUUUACUGUUCCCUCAGUGAAAGGAAGGAUCUACUACGAUCUAGCCCAAUUCAUGGUGCAGCACUACAAGCGGCACGGGGUUGGAAGCACAAAGAAAAUUGAAGACUGUAUUUCACAGUAGUUGCGAAGAACAAAUGAUUUUUUUUGUAUUUUCUUAAACGUUUAUUUCUUGUUUUGUUUUUUAGACAUAUACAUGUUUUGUUUUAUAUUUUUAUGUAUUUUUUUUAUAAUCAAUAUAUUUUUAGUUUUGAUAAA